UGUGCGAGGGGUGUGCAAGUGUGCAAGGGGUUGUGCAAGGGGUGUGCAAGGCCGGGAAGAGGCAUUCAAGGGGUUGUGCAAGGGGCAAGCAGCGCUGUAACCACGCAAGGGGGUGUGCAAGGCCAGGAAGAGCCGUGCAAGGGGUGUGUGAGGGGCGUGCAAGGGGGUGGCUGCAACCGUGCAAGGGGGGGCGUGCAAGGCCGGGAAGAGCCGUGCGAGGGGCGUGCGAGGCCCAGUUCAGCUUCCCCCAAGCCGAGAGCCCCCCACCCCGCCACCCCCCCACCCCGUUGCCCCCCCCCCCCCAGCAGCGACCACUCCCAAUUUCUCUCUAUUUUAUGUUAAAAUCACUUUACAUGUAAAAUACAAAAAUAUGCCCCAGGGGGGGACGACACCCCCCCCCCCCCCAUGACCCCCCCUCCGGCUCCAGGGGACCCCCCAGGGGACACAGGACAGGGUGACCGGGGGGGGGGCC